rnacentral:siRNA from 1 species
GGGCUUCGUGAUCCGAUGGAGGUC